UUCCUGGAGAGUCCAGGAUGUGGACUUGAAACUCUGAGAUUGAGUUGCUGUGGUUUGUCAAAGAUCAGCUGUGAUUAUCUGGCAGCAGCACUGAAGUCCAACCCCUCCCAUCUGAGAGAGCUGAACCUGAGGGACAACAACCUGAAGGAUCCAGAUGUGAAGCAGCUGUCUGAUCUUAAGCAGAGUCCAGACUACAGACUGGAGACUCUGGAGUGGAGGUGAUGAUGGUAAA